rnacentral:lncRNA from 1 species
UAAAUCAUCGAGCUCUUUUUGACUUAGUGUCAAUACAAUUUUAUGAGAUAAUAAUGUCUAUUUCCUAAAUCGGAAAAACGAAAAAUACAAAAAUAAAAAUUUUUAAAUACGAUUUCGGAUCUUAAGACUCUUUCCUGAAUUGUCUUUCGACCUAAAGAUAAAUCAAGCUAAAUUAUAAAUCAAACAACAAUAAAAAAAAUAAUAAG